GGUUCAAUUAUUGAAUUGAGAAGAUCGUAUCAAGCAUAUAAUGUAAUGCCAAGUUUAAGUAAAGCUUUGAAGCGUUAUGGUGUAUGAGAUUGGAGGAUGGCUCUAUUCGAGUAAAUGGGAUUCAGUUCUUUGCUUGCGUCAUUGCUGCUGAGAAUCUUUUGCAGAGUCUAGGAUGUUCUCGCAUGAAAUAUUAACUACCAGUCAAACUCUUAAAACUUGGAAGAUCAAAGAUGUUGCGAUCAGCCAACUCCUCCCAAUCAAGACUCAAGAUACAUUUUCCAUAUGUUGCAAGUAAAAUGUAGCCCCUAUCCUUUGGCUGAAACAGAUACAGGAUGAUUAGCAGCCUAUAGACUGGCCAGCCUCUGCUGCAAAUAACUGAAUUUAGACAAAGACAAGCAUGACAGCGAGGGUUUAUCGAUUUGUUCACAAAGCAUCAUUUGGCUUUCUUAAUUCCAAAAUAGAACUUUAUGGAUUUUUAGGAACCAACUUGUUAUCCUUCUGAAAAUGGCAACUUGUUCUGCUGGUGUCACAGAACUGCAGAAACUUCAGAACAACAUUUAUUGAGUUGCAGGUCAUUUAUUAUUGCUA